rnacentral:rRNA from 1 species
GACGAACGCUGGCGGCGUGCUUAACACAUGCAAGUCGAACGGAAAGGCCCUGCUUUUGUGGGGUGCUCGAGUGGCGAACGGGUGAGUAACACGUGAGUAACCUGCCCUUGACUUUGGGAUAACUUCAGGAAACUGGGGCUAAUACCGGAUAGGAGCUCCUGCUGCAUGGUGGGGGUUGGAAAGUUUCGGCGGUUGGGGAUGGACUCGCGGCUUAUCAGCUUGUUGGUGGGGUAGUGGCUUACCAAGGCUUUGACGGGUAGCCGGCCUGAGAGGGUGACCGGGCACAUUGGGAAUGAGAUACGGCCCAGACUCCUACGGGAGGCAGCAGUGGGGAAUAUUGCACAAUGGGCGGAAGCCUGAUGCAGCAACGCCGCGUGCGGGAUGACGGCCUUCGGGUUGUAAACCGCUUUCGCCUGUGACGAAGCGUGAGUGACGGUAAUGGGUAAAGAAGCACCGGCUAACUACGUG